rnacentral:rRNA from 1 species
UGGGGAAUAUUGGGCAAUGGGCGAAAGCCUGACCCAGCAACGCCGCGUGAAGGAUGAAGGUUUUCGGAUUGUAAACUUCUUUGACACGGGAAGAUAAUGACGGUACCGUGAAAACAAGCCACGGCUAACUACGUGCCAGCAGCCGCGGUAAUACGUAGGUGGCGAGCGUUGUCCGGAAUUACUGGGUGUAAAGGGCGUGUAGGCGGGAUUAAAAGUCAGAUGUGAAAUACCGAGGCUUAACUUCGGGGCUGCAUUUGAAACUUUAGUUCUUGAGUGAUGGAGAGGCAAGUGGAAUUCCUAGUGUAGCGGUGGAAUGCGUAGAUAUUAGGAGGAACACCAGUGGCGAAGGCGACUUGCUGGACAUUAACUGACGCUGAGGCGCGAAAGCGUGGGGAGCAAACA